UAAAAAAAACUCAGUUGGUUAGAGUAUGGUGCUAAUAACGCCAAAGUAUAGGUUCGACCCCUGUAGUGAGCAUCUUUUUUUAU